UACGUAGGUGGCAAGCGUUGUUCGGAAUUAUUGGGCGUAAAGGGCGCGUAGGCGGUUUGUUAAGUCGGCUGUGAAAGCCCGGGGCUCAACCUCGGGUCUGCAGUCGAUACGAGCAAACUAGAGUGUUGCAGGGGAGACUGGAAUUCCUGGUGUAGCGGUGAAAUGCGCAGAUAUCAGGAGGAACACCAAUGGCGAAGGCAGCACUCUGGGACGUGACUGACGCUAAGACGCGAAAGCGUGGGGAGCAAACAGG
rnacentral:rRNA from 1 species